GUUUCAACGCAAUCAGCCUAUGGCCUCAACACAAGGAAUAUUGCGCUGUGCUCUAUCGGCAGUAGCUGGCUACUCGCCGCCGCGAACACACGGGUCUCAAAAUAAAACUCCAAAGCAAAAGUGCAUUCAUAAAGUGCUUCAACUACUGAAAACUUUAGAAAGAAAAAUGUAUUAUUAAAAAGUGGUGAGCUAUUUCCGUGAAUGCUUUUUGGCAAGUGCGCGAGUGCAUGCUGGCUAUUUUUAAAAUUAGUUUCGGAGUGCAGUUUUUGAAACUACUGAAAAGAGUUUGUUUUUGUGAUUGCACCUCCUUGAAGUUGGAGAAUGGACGUCCUGCGGCCGUCAUGUGCCCUCUUCGUACUGUUCCUGCUGUACUGCGCGCACCUCACAGAAUGCGUGAACGCAAAGAUCAACUUCAGAGAGAAGGAGAAGCAGAUUCUGGACCAGAUCCUGGGCCCUGGCCGCUACGACGCCAGGAUCCGGCCCUCGGGCAUCAACGGCACUGGGGACGCUCCCACGUUGGUGCGGGUAAACCUGUACCUGCGAUCAAUCAGCAAAAUAGAUGAUUAUAAAAUGGAAUACUCUGUCCAGCUGACUUUCAGAGAACAAUGGCUUGACGAAAGACUGAAAUUUAAUAACUUGGGCGGCCGGCUCAAGUACCUGACGCUGACUGAGGCCAACCGAGUGUGGAUGCCGGACCUGUUCUUCAGCAACGAGAAGGAGGGCCACUUCCACAACAUCAUCAUGCCCAACGUGUACAUCCGCAUCUUCCCCAACGGCAACGUGCUCUACAGCAUCAGGAUCUCCCUCACUCUCUCCUGCCCCAUGAACCUCAAGUUGUAUCCGUUGGAUAAACAGACUUGCUCCCUGAGGAUGGCCAGUUAUGGUUGGACGACUGACGAUCUUGUGUUCCUCUGGAAGGAAGGCGACCCAGUACAGGUUGUGAAAAAUCUACACUUACCCCGAUUCACAUUAGAAAAAUUCUUGACUGACUAUUGCAACAGCAAAACUAACACAGGUGAAUACAGUUGUCUGAAAGUAGACUUGCUGUUCAAGCGAGAGUUCUCGUACUACCUGAUCCAGAUCUAUAUUCCUUGCUGCAUGUUGGUGAUCGUUUCUUGGGUCUCCUUCUGGCUGGAUCAGGGCGCUGUGCCGGCGCGGGUGUCUCUUGGUGUGACAACCCUGCUCACAAUGGCCACUCAAUCAUCAGGCAUCAACGCAUCACUCCCGCCAGUAUCAUACACAAAGGCCAUAGACGUAUGGACUGGCGUUUGUUUAACAUUCGUAUUCGGGGCGCUACUAGAGUUUGCCCUCGUGAACUAUGCAUCGCGGUCUGACAUGCAUAGGGAGAAUAUGAAGAAGACGCGACGGGAGAUGGAGGCGGCUGCAAGCAUGGAUGCAGCGUCAGACCUGCUGGACACUGACAGCAAUGCCACCUUCGCGAUGAAACCUCUGAUGCGCGGCGCUGUGCUGGACUCCAAGAUGCGACAGUGCGAGGUGCACAUGGCUCCUCCGAGGAAGAACUGUUGUCGCCUCUGGAUGUCCAAGUUUCCAACGCGCUCUAAGCGAAUAGACGUCAUCUCCAGAAUCACCUUCCCACUCGUCUUCGCUCUCUUCAACUUGGCUUAUUGGUUAGGACACUAAAGAGAAUAAGUCAGAGAUGCUCUCCUUUCAAGAGAUGUUAUCUUAGGCGCAGUCGACGUACCUAUUCCGAGAUGAGGACGAAGAGAACUGAUUCACAAUCGAGACUGCAUCAGCAUCGUUCCACUGGCAGUGGCAGCUCCCGCUCGCGAUCCUGUGGCCUUACGCCUUCUUCUGUAUAGCGUACUUCCUGUUCCUCAGAAACAAGGGUAGGGGCUGCUGCCCGGGGCUCACGCACGACAGUUCUCCCACCAGCAACUCCUGGCACUAACACAGGCUCUCCGCGCCCUCCUCGGUGCACUACCUACAUUGCGCAACCAACAUUUCUUUGGCAAUAGACAUUAUUAUGCCAUACGUCGGUAGUGGAUUCCAGCCUAGUGGAUUAGUUCAGUUCUUGAAGUAGAUGCAGCCUUACAGUUCGAUUGACUUUACAUUGCUGGGUUACCCCUCAAGUUAAUUAUAUAUCCAAAUUCAAUGUUGCUUAUGAACACUACAAUAUAUAGUGAUAAGUAGAUUUUAAACUACCCGAAUGAUAAGCGAAAUAGUAGAUUCUUAAUAUGUUUAAGUACGAUUCGAAGCGGGUUCAAAACCAUUGCACCUAGACGAUACAAAAAUAUGAAAAAGACAACAGGCUGUCAGCAGUGAAGUAAAUUAUUAUGAAAUAGGAAAUCUAAGUGUAAGUAA